AUAGAAUUGCACAUGUUUCCUUUGAAUUUAUUUGCAUUCUUCUUUAUAACAUGAUAUUCUUCAUCACUCACAUUAUCAUCAGAAAUAUCUGGGUCAUCAGAAUCCUCACUCUCUGUAUCCUUUUUAUACUCAGUAUCAUCCGUGUCUUCACUAUACUCCCCCUCACUACUAUGCCCCCGUUCCUCUAUUUCUAUCUCAGCCCCUAGCUUUUGUGUUCUGUGCAUUGUGGUAUCAUUUUUUUUCCUUUGGUGAGGGUGGAACAUCAACAAGUUCAUCCAAAUCAAAAUGAUCAACAUACAAUUCAAUUUUUCCAUAUGGCUUACACGAUGCAACCAAGUCCCUAACUGAUAUGGCAUCAUAAACUACCCUUGUGCCCUGCUUAAAGCUAUGACCAUCACACUAAAAACAUACUAGUGCAUUCUCAUCAUAGUCAUACUUCUUAGCAAAUUCUUCUAAAUCACGAAAACUUAAAGUAUCACUAUCGAAAUCAUGGAUCACUUCAACUUUACCACCCAUAUACUUCACAUUUGGAGGAGGACUGAAAUCACCGUGGUGGUAGAGAUAUAAAGUAGUAGACAUACUGUCAAUUCAAAAAACAUAUACAAUUAUACACAUACCAUCUACAUCAUAAACACAACCAACACAUGAAUCUACAAUUAACAACAUUUAUGCAGUCGAAUUAGGGUUCAUAUCUGGAAAUAGAAGUCGAAGACGAUGUACGGAAUGCAUAAUCUCCACGACAAUUAAAAGCUUUUAAUCGAAUUCAGUCGUGCCCUAAAAUUUCGCCCACCUUCUCCCCCCAAAUUCAACUUCUCUCCUGUCUAUACUUCCCCUAAAAUUAAAACAACGGCUUUAUUUUUGUUUGGGGCUUUUAACAAAAUCGAUCCGCUUACAUGUCUGCAAUAUCAUCUUCCAAGUGGCAUACACGUGUCUCCACGUAGCCUAAACGUUAAAGUCAAGACGGUCCCGCUAGAUCAACAUAAAUAUUUAACGUCAAUGUCAUUACUGGUUACUAGAGUGGUACACUUAAGAUGCCGAUAACUAGAGUGAGGCAAUUGAUAUCAGGCCUUCAGUUGAGUGAGCAUUUUGAGAUUCAACCCAAUUUAUAAUUAAAUUUGACUCGUGUCAAUGGUCUCAUUUAUAAUUUUGAAUGAUUUUGGUUGAAUAUGGCUAUAGUCGAUUACUUUUCUAAUAUUAUUGCGACUAGGGAUGAGCUUUUGGUCCGUUCGAUCCAAAACCGGUCCCAAUCGAAUAGACCAAAAAUCGAAAUUUCAUUUCUUCCCGGAACGAAACUGAAAUUUUAAUAUGGACCGAACCAAACCGAACGGUUCGGUCCGGACCAAAAUAAUCAAAAAUUCUCUAAAAAUUACAAAUUAUAUUAUAAAUAAAACUAAAAUUCAUGAAAUAUUUUUAAAAAAUUAAUAGUAAUUAAUCAUCACCACUUCACCUAAUUAAAUUUAUAAAUUAAAUAUUAUAAUAUUAACAUAUAUAUGAGAUAUAUAUAUCUCAUAUAUAUAUAUAUAUAUAUAUAUAUAUAUAUAUAUAUUGUGUGUGUGUGUGUGUGUGUGUGUGUGUGUGUGUGUGUGUGUGUGUGUGUGUNNNNNNNNNNNNNNNNNNNNNNNNNNNNNNNNNNNNNNNNNNNNNNNNNNNNNNNNNNNNNNNNNNNNNNNNNNNNNNNNNNNNNNNNNNNNNNNNNNNNNNNNNNNNNNNNNNNNNNNNNNNNNNNNNNNNNNNNNNNNNNNNNNNNNNNNNNNNNNNNNNNNNNNNNNNNNNNNNNNNNNNNNNNNNNNNNNNNNNNNNNNNNNNNNNNNNNNNNNNNNNNNNNNNNNNNNNNNNNNNNNNNNNNNNNNNNNNNNNNNNNNNNNNNNNNNNNNNNNNNNNNNNNNNNNNUAUAUAUAAUUUAUAUUAUAUAUAAUUUGGACUAUUCGGUCUAUUUGAUCUGAACUGAAAAUAUAAUUUGUUUCUCUCUUCUUGUGUGUGUCUCUUCCCCAAUCUCUUUCCCACUUCUUGCAUCUACAAGAUGGAUGCUACAGGGUCCACCAACGAGAAUAACACAAAAACAAAAAAAAACAGAGAUUCCACGAUGUAUUUUUCUAUGACAAACUAGUUGUGAAGAAAACUUGAUGGUUUGAUGAGAAUACUAAAAGGAAGAUACUCGUGUCCCCGAAUGGAUGGAAUAGUUGUUCUUACAUGAAAUGGAUUCAUCAACCACUUAAAAGGCGAGUAGUGGAGGUGGUUCAAGGUAUAUUGAAAGAGAUUAACGACUUGAAGCCCGUACACCAAAUAUAAAAGUGCAAGAUCUAUGCUAGGUUUGCGAGAAAAAGGGAAAAAAUUGUGAUGAAGGUCAAGAUUCAUACUGCAUUAGUUGAAGUUGUAGCCACUAAGUCAGAAGAAGAAAAUUAGGUGUAUGGGUCAGAGAAUGAUGAUUUAUAGUUAGUUUAUAUUUGUUGGUUCAUAGUUUGUUGUUGGACAGUUGUGUCCGUUUAUGUUCGUGUUGAGACUAUGAUUAUGGUCACCUCUUUUGGUUAUUUAUGAAAGGGAGGUUAUUGUUAAUUGAUUCUAAAUUUUUAAUUAUAUUCUAUGCUUUGGUCAUAACCCUUGCUAGCAAAAAUAAUACACAUAUUAGUGCAAGAUAAAUAACCAUGAAGAAGAUAAACUGCCAUUGGCCCAAACAUAAAAUCUGAAAUGUUUACAUCAAUCCCAAACAUACUAGUGUAAGCAAAAGAUUGGACCAUAAAUCGUAGUUCAAUACUGCAAACAAUCAAGAUUGAACUAUGGACAUUAAUUCUUAGUUCAAUACUGUCAAAUGAUCAUAAUACAAAAGUUCACAAUUUCUCGGGUGUACUUUAUUUAAAUUUCUUCCUCCUCUCCCUCCUGCCUUGGUCCAACAUCCCCUAUCUUGAUAUUGGACCCUUUUUGAUUGCCUUUUUUUUCCUUGCUGAGCAAAAAUUCCACCAUGAAUACCUUCUGGCAUUGAACCACUUUCACCAUCUUGAUUGUUAGUACUUGAAGUUGGAUGAGUGGAUGGCAAUACUGCAGUUCUCUAAAAAUUAGAGUCUAGCCUCCUUUUAGCUUUGUAGUUUUAUUUUGUUGUUUAGAUAUCGGCCUUCCUUGAUUUUCUUCACCACCACCACUUGUCGCAUUAUUAUUAGAGACUUGUGACUACUUUGUUCUAAUGAAAAUUACUUAAAAAAUUUAUUAAGAAGUAUCAUUACUCUUGUUGGGCAAGUUCAAAAGAGACAACAGAAGCACUAAUCACUAAAUCUAGGCAUAUAAUUAUAAAAUUUAACCUAUAAAUUUGUAUAUAGAACAUGCAAAUUAGGAGAAAAACAGUUUAACAACACAAACUUAUCAAAAUAACAUAACUCCUCUAGUUCUCGUCUUUUUUUUUUUUUACUUCAAUAUGUAAAACAGACGCCGUUUAAAAAACAUAUCGAAAAUGAAUGUUAGAUUUAAUCAUAAUCAUAUUAAAAUCCUAAAAGUCGUGAGUAAAGUUACAUGCAUUAAGUAAUACAAAGAUAUAUUUAGGAUUCCAGUAAGAAAUGCACAAAAAACCGUUAAUAUACCUGUCUAAGUAUUCUUCUGACUUUUUAAGGUUGAUAAGCUCAGAAUUGCCAAAUCUCUCCAUUUUUUUCAACAGAUCAUUGUCGUAGAUAGCGAGUUAUGACAUAUUUUACUUAAUUAAGGCAAAUAGCUAGUGAAAUGAUGAACAAACGACAUAAUCUUAUGGUUGAAUCGUGGAGUUAAUAGAAUUGUAAUAAUGAAAUUACUGAAGAACUCUAUCAUUAUUAUAGUUUUUUUUACAAAUUAAAAGAAGCGUUAAAUUAAUUGACCAAGUCUUAAAAUGCUUUGGGCUAGACUUUUGUACAAAUUCUACGCCAUAAGCGCACAUCGGCAACGCUUAUUAGCAAGCGUUGCAGCAAAAGCAUUGCAUUUUCUAUAAAGAAUUAGAUCUUUUACAACACAGCGAAGAAAACGUUGCAUUACAGUUAAGCUACCAUUACUUAUUAUAUACACUGUUGCGCAAAGUGCAACACUAGCAACAUUAGUGUUGCAUUAGCAAUUUAAAAUUAAUAUUUAUUGCUGACACGGUCUUUGUGGGGCCCAAAAAACGCUGAGGUGACAUGCUAAGGUGGAUGGGGGACCCACAGUGCUGACGUGACAUGUGGGCCCCACUUGUGGUCCACACUGCUGACGUGGCAUGCUAACUUGGCAUGUGAGCCCCACACUGCUGACUUGGCAUGUGAGCCCCACACUGCUGACGUGGCAUGUGGCCCCACAUGUGGGUCCCACUUUGCUGAUGUGGCAUGCAUAUAAAAAUUGUUUUUUUGUGUGAAUUUUGUAUUCAAAUAAUACGUUUGUUCUAUAUGCAGUUUUGAAUAUUUAACCAUUUUUUUAAAAAAAAUAACAACUUUUGUUUGAACAUAUAUAUUUGUAUAUAUUUUAUAUUUGAUGUAUUGUAUUUCUUUCAGUUAGCUAAUAUAUUUAUAAUAUAUCUAUGAAACUAGUUUAUUUCAUAUUUCACAAAAAAAUUUCAAAUAUAUGCUUUAUUAUUCAUAUGUCAAACUUAACAAAUUUGUUGUGAAGUAAUAAAAUAUGUUUAUACUAUUAAAAUAUAAAAUUUCUAACAUUUUUUCUUAUAAAACCUGUAAACUUAUCGAUAUUUCUGAUAUACAAUAAAAAUAAAAAUAAUUUGAUAGAUAAUUGACGUUUAAAAUUUUAAAAUUUAGAAUAUUCAAUAUUUUAAUUUAAAAGAGAUAAUUUUCAUUAUAUAUAGUAAAAAAAUAUUUCAUAUACUACAAAUAUGUUGGUAAACUUAAAAUAUGUAUGAUAAAAUAAAUACUUGAAAUUUUUGGAAUAUAAAAUAAACAAUUCAGGUAAAAACAAUAAAUAAAUUAUAUAUAGAAAAAAUGUCAAAUUAUAAAAAUAGUAAUUUAUAUAAUAAAAAUAUUGGAUAAUUAAUGGAAGUAAAAAAAUGAUAUCGAUCACAUUUAUAUAAUACAAAAUCAUUUAUUUUAUAUAAAAAAUUGUCAAGGAAAUGAUUGAACAUAUAAACUAUGUGUACAAGAAAAAGUGUUCGACUCAACGUUAAGAUUCAGAUUUAAAAGAAAAUUAGACCACAUUAAUGAAGAAACAUAAAAUUAGAAUGACGGCAUCAUUUGGUGUAAAAUCGUGUCUACAAGUUUAGGAAAACGGGUGUUUGGCACAGGCUUAUAAGCUCCGGAAUUAUAUGUUCCAAGCACUUAUUUGUAAAAAGUCUGUGUAAAAUUCAAGAAAUACUUUUAAAAAACUACAUAUGUUUUUAACUUCUACUUAUUUUUUUAGUUUAAGCAAUAAGAUCACCCAAACCGUCCCAUAAUUACUCAAAUAUAAACAAGAAUGAGAGUGUGAUUUUGUGCAAAAUUCUGUAUAGGUUCUAUAUUGUGGAUUUAUCAUUACUCUGACAACAUAGUAGACUUGUAUUUUGCCAUUUAUUGCUUAGCGGUUAAGACCUAUAAAAGGCUAAAACAAGCCUUGCAACGAAGAUGGAUCGGGGUCUCUAGCUUAAAUAAUUUACUUAGAACGUGAUUUCGCGUUCCCAGAUAUUUAUAUAUUCCGAACCUUCUUACACAUGAUCCUAAUUUAACUACGAAUUUACUUUGCAAAUUCAGUUAUAAUAUAACACCGUCUGUACAGACAUACAUACCAACAUUGUUACCAACAUAUACUAUGCUAAUUAAACAACCAUAUAUAACUUGGUUUAACCAUGAAAAUCUAAUACUUGAGAACCACAAAAUAUUCAAAAAGGUCUUAUGUACAUUUGUUUUGAACGAUACCCAGCUGAUUAUUGUUCACAAAUAAAGCUGCAGAAUGCAUGAAAGACCCAUGAAAUGAUAAACAGUGAAACAAUAUGAACAACAUUUCCCAUAAACAAAGGACCACCAAAAAGAAAAAAGAGUCAGUAACACACUGCACUCCAGUUAUAAUUUGCUACAACUGAAAAAAAAUCAAGCUGUCGAGUUCUUUCUUGUCCAAAAGGGGUGUCAAUUUCGGGUAACGGAUCGUGUUCGUCUUAGCAAUCGGGUCGAUUUUGACUUUUGAGUUGAUUUCGGGCAAAGCUAAAAUCACUUAAAAUUAAAUAAAACUGAAAAUUGAAGUUAUUAGAAACGAAAUUCUAAUUUCGGGGCAUUUUGGGUCCAUUUUAUGUCAAUCGAGUGAUUUCGAGUCAUUUUCGAAUUUUGUCUCAGUAAAUCGGAUUGCAGACCUGGGUCGAGUUCGAGUCACGUUGUCUGAUAUUGUCACACUUGUUUACCUUUUCUGAUGGAAAAAUAAAAGCAGCAAAAACAGUUGAGUACUUCCACAUGCGAUUCUACUAUAUGAAAGAUGUACUCACAUGCUGACAUGCAUUAUUGUCACCAACAUGUAUAUAUCUAAAUAUUUACCAAAUAAACUCUUGGAGGAGUGGAGAUAUAAUGCUUUAUAAAAUUAGCAUGACCCUGAUUUAAAAACAUUUGGAUCGCCUCAAUUUCAGCCGACUCAAUCUGCUUCUAACUAUUCCUCCAAUAAUAGUAAGAGCUUCAGUUAUAACAACUCUUGUUUUCAGGUCAAAUAAUAUACAAAGGUUCCAUAACUUUGUUACAUGGACAUAUGGCUGUGAAUAUAUGUACAGGGAAAACGUCAAAGCAGCCGGCAGCUUCUCGGUAACAACCAAUUAUCUGGCUUGUUAUACCGGCAGAUAUCGGAUUUUUCGUUUAAAUACCCGAAUUUAGAAUUAAAUUAUUUAAGAUAAUCUUAAAUAAGUGUCAGAGUCUAUAUAUAAAUUAAUUUCGAGGACACACAUAUAUAUAUAUAUUACUAAAAUAUAAUUGAAUUUAGUAACGGAAACAUAUCUGUUGUUAAAGACUGACGAAAUUAAUAAUAACGACUUAUGAGAAGAGUUUCGAUGAUGUUACUUGCAACGUUUUGCUAAUGAUUUACCGACAUUACAUUAUCUACUAAUAGAAUCCAACCCAUCGCUAAUAUUGAAGGUAAUUAAUUUGAGCGGUGUAUUAAUUUAAGCAAAUGAAAGCGUAUUUGUUGUGAUGUUAGUAAUGUAGCAGGUGACUUGUGAUGAGAGAAGUGUAAAAUAUGAAAGUGACCCUAACAUUGUAUUUUAAUGAUUGGUAUUUUUGUGUUUGGUAUCCCAGCUGUAUGCGGAGAAGAAAGAAGCCAAUUUGGAUGAACAAUUGACUCUACUAAUCAAAUAGUAAUCACUAUUUGAAUUGGUCCCUAAUGACAGCUCUGUCCUAACGACUAUCCCUUGCUAGCUUUUUGCUAUAUAAACUUCCACAUUGUACCACUAAAGUCAUCAACUCUUAACCUCUAAAGGGGUUCUUUCUUAAAUCAUUCCCCUUCUGCUUCUGUUCAUAAACGAGAUUUUUGACAUCAUUGGCCGGAAGUAGUAAAUUUUCCGGCGGAAAAUGAGAGAUCACGGCAGCCACCCCAUAAGGGGUGGACUGGUUGUAUUGUGCUUAGUAGUAGUGUCAAGCAUUAUGGGAGCCUCAGGGGAUCCCUACAUUUAUUCUUCACCACCUCCUCCGUAUGAGUAUAAGUCUCCACCGCCACCUUCGCCUUCGCCACCACCUCCUUAUGUGUAUAAAUCCCCACCACCUCCGGUGCAUUCUCCUCCACCACCCCCAAUGCAUUCUCCUCCACCACCGUAUGAGUACAAAUCACCACCACCCCCGGUGCACUCACCACCUCCUCCGUAUGAGUAUAAAUCACCACCACCCCCGGUGCAUUCUCCUCCUCCGCCCUAUGAGUACAAGUCACCACCACCUCCGGUGCACUCACCACCUCCUCCAUAUGAGUACAAAUCACCACCACCUCCGGUGCAUUCUCCACCUCCACCAUAUGAGUAUAAAUCACCACCACCACCUUCACCAUCCCCACCACCACCAUAUGUGUACAAGUCUCCACCACCACCCGUCAAAUCCCCACCUCCACCAUACCACUACUCAUCACCACCACCACCCGUAAAAUCCCCACCUCCACCAUACCACUACUCCUCCCCACCACCACCUGUAAAAUCACCUCCUCCACCUUAUCAUUACUCAUCUCCACCACCACCAGUCAAAUCCCCACCACCACCAUACCACUACUCAUCACCUCCACCACCCGUAAAAUCACCACCUCCACCAUACUACUACAAGUCCCCACCACCUCCAGUUAAAUCCCCACCACCACCAUACUACUACCAUUCUCCUCCUCCCCCAGUGAAGUCACCACCUCCACCAUACCACUACAACUCUCCUCCACCACCCAAGCAUUCUCCACCACCACCUUACUACUACAAGUCUCCACCACCCCCCGUCAAGUCACCACCCCCACCAUACUACUAUCACUCUCCACCACCCCCAAUGAAGUCACCACCCCCACCAUACUACUACAGCUCACCACCACCACCCGUCAAGUCCCCACCACCACCAUACUACUACAGUUCACCACCACCACCGGUGAAAUCCCCGCCACCCCCAUACUACUACACAUCCCCACCACCACCAGUGAAAUCUCCACCACCUCCUUACUAUCCUCACCCUCAUCAUCACUCAUACACCGUGAAGGUAGUAGGAAAGGUUUACUGUUACAGAUGCUACGACUGGAAGUACCCAAUCAAGUCCCAUGCAAAGAUGCACCUAAAAGGUAACUUUUUUUCUAUUUUAUCAAUUAUUUAAUACACAUAAUUACCUCCUAGUUACAUUCUUCAGUCUUAAGUAUAUAUGUUUUUUCAGUUAUAUACACGCUCCUCUUUAAUAAUUUAGCUUUCUUACUGAUCAUUGCUUAUUAUAUUGUCCACGCACAUGCAUGCUAGCUAGCUCAUACUACACUCAUUUUCCUUUUCCUUGCUCUUUCUUAAUGUGGAAAUCCUAAUACCCUAGUGAGCUUAAUUAUUAUCACCAGAUCACUUCUAAAAUGUAAAGUUAAUCAUGCUUUUAUAAUGAACUAAUAUGCUUCAUUUAUUAUUAAUCACUUUGGUUUCUUUUUAUGUGACACUGUGAUUUACAUGCAUUCUAUAUAGUUCCGGCCACCUAGUACACUUUAAUGAGCUUGAUUAAUAUCAGAUCAUCUUCCUAUAAAAAGUUAAAUCAUGAUUUAUGAAUUAAUUAAUAUCCAUAACGACCAUAUGUCAUAACAGCUUUAUGUUGUAAAGCGAAAGAAAAGAAGGGCUGGACACCAUUAUAUAAUAGGACAGAUUCGAUCUGGCUAGCACCCACCCGAUCCACAUUGUUCAAUAAAAGACAUGCAUAUUUUUAUCUAUAAUCCACCAAUGAAAUUCUUGAUUUAUGCACCAAAAUUGGACGUAUAUAAUUUGUUCCCUUAUAUCUUUAUUUAGAUUAUAUCUUUAUAUAGAUUAGUGUAUAGUUUAAUAAUAUUAUUUCAAAUAUAUAUUUAAUAUUUUUCCCACCGGGUGUUACAUCUUUUACAUAUAAGCAUGUUAUAUAAUAAUAUAAUAUAAAGAUUUUUAACUUACUUUAAUUUUGGUAUAUGUCAAGCAUAUGCCAAUGAUGUUGCAUAUUAGAUUAAUUAGUAAAGAGAUAUGUCCUUUCAAAGAAUAAAUUAUAAUUAAAAUUGACAUGCUAGUCUUCUAUAUACUGUUAAGAUGUCUACAUACAGAGAAACUUCAUACCACACAUAGUCCAACGAUUGAUCUCUGAUUUGAAAAUAUAGAACGUGUAUUUAUUCUUAUUUGAAAAACGUGGCAACUAGAUCAGAGUUGGAAGCUAAGAUAAUAUAUAUUAGUACAAACAACUCACAAAGGAUAAGAGGACAAAAUGACUUAUUAUUAAAAAAAACUGAAUUAGGUAAAGACUGUAUUUAUUUAAGAUUUUGUCAAUAAAGUGGUUGUAAUAAUUCAACAUGUGGAAACAGGUGCUGUGGUUGAGGUGACAUGCAAGGCAGGAGACAAAGAUGUGGUGGCUUAUGGUAAGACAAAGAUCAAUGGUAAAUACAGCAUCACGGUUAAAGGAUUUGAGUACGGAAAGUAUGGUGGAGCCAAGGCAUGCAAAGCUAAGCUCCAUAUGGCGCCCAAGGAUUCUAAAUGUAAUAUUGCAACAAAUCUUCAUUGGGGCAUUAAGGGUGCUAAACUCAAAGUGAAAUCUAAGAGCAAAUAUGAAGUUGUUUUGUCUGCUAAGCCAUUUGCAUAUGCUCCCAAGACUCCUUACAAGAAGUGUUACAAGCCUGCACCAACACCAGCUCCGGUGACUCCGGUGACACCGCCUUAUUAUUAUAAGUCUCCACCACCGCCACCCAAGUCUCCCGCACCAACUCCUUAUUAUUACAAAUCUCCACCACCGCCAUCUAAAUCUCCGGCACCAACUCCUUACUACUACAAGUCUCCACCACCACCGCCUAAAUCUCCCACGCCAACACCUUACUACUACAAGUCUCCUCCCCCACCAACAAAAUCUCCGGUUCCAGCUCCUUAUUACUACAAAUCUCCCCCACCACCAACUAAGUCUCCCACUCCGGCUCCUUAUUACUACAAGUCCCCACCACCACCUUCACCAUCACCACCACCUCCAUACUACUACAAAUCACCACCACCACCUGUCAAGUCUCCCACUCCCGCUCCUUAUUACUACAAGUCCCCACCACCGCCGUCACCAUCUCCACCACCUCCAUACUACUACAAAUCACCACCACCACCCGUGAAAUCUCCAACUCCAACUCCUUACUACUACAAGUCUCCACCCCCACCGUCACCAUCUCCUCCCCCACCAUACUACUACAAAUCACCACCACCACCCGUGCAUUCACCUCCACCACCUUACUACUACAAAUCACCACCCCCGCCAGUGCACUCACCUCCACCACCCUACUACUACAAAUCACCACCACCUCCUUCGCCAUCUCCUCCACCACCAUAUUACUACAAGUCCCCACCUCCACCAAGUCCAUCCCCUCCACCUCCAUACCAUUACUCAUCACCUCCACCACCUGUGAAAUCCCCACCACCUCCAUAUCAUUAUUCCUCACCCCCACCACCUGUCAAAUCCCCGCCACCUCCAUAUCAUUAUUCGUCACCCCCACCACCAGUGAAAUCCCCGCCACCUCCAUAUCAUUAUUCGUCACCCCCACCACCAGUGAAAUCCCCGCCACCUCCAUAUCAUUAUUCGUCACCCCCACCACCAGUGAAAUCCCCGCCACCACCAUAUCAUUAUUCAUCACCACCACCCCCCGUCAAAUCCCCACCACCUCCUUACCAUUACUCUUCACCACCACCACCAGUAAAAUCUCCACCACCUCCAUAUCAUUAUUCAUCACCUCCACCACCAGUGAAAUCCCCACCACCUCCAUACCACUAUACGUCACCACCACCUCCAGUAAAAUCACCACCACCCCCAUAUCAUUAUUCAUCACCUCCACCACCCGUGAAGUCCCCACCACCACCAUACCACUAUUCUUCACCACCACCACCAGUAAAAUCCCCACCUCCUCCAUACCAUUACUCAUCACCUCCCCCACCUGUGAAAUCACCACCCCCUCCAUACCACUACUCUUCACCACCACCACCAGUCAAAUCCCCACCUCCUCCAUACCACUACUCUUCACCUCCACCACCGGUGAAAUCUCCACCUCCCCCAUACCACUACUCAUCUCCACCACCGCCAGUGAAAUCACCUCCACCACCGUACCACUACUCAUCUCCACCACCUCCCGUGAAAUCCCCACCUCCACCGUACCACUACUCAUCACCUCCACCACCCGUAAAAUCACCACCUCCUCCAUACCACUACUCAUCACCACCACCGCCAGUGAAGUCACCUCCUCCCCCAUACCACUACUCAUCACCACCACCACCAGAAAAAUCACCACCCCCACCAUACCACUACUCAUCUCCCCCACCCCCAGAGAAAUCUCCGCCCCCACCUUACCAUUACUCAUCCCCUCCACCACCCGUAAAAUCCCCACCUCCCCCAUACCACUACUCAUCCCCACCACCACCCGUGAAGUCUCCACCUCCCCCGUAUCACUAUUCCUCACCCCCACCGCCAGUGAAAUCACCUCCUCCCCCAUACGUCUAUUCAUCACCACCCCCACCUGUUGCAUCACCACCCCCACCAGUUUACAUUUAUGCUUCACCACCACCACCCACUCACUAUUAAGGUCCGACCGCUCAGCUAGUUCCAUCCAACAUUCAAGUAAGUUAACUCUUUUACUACAUGAACUACUAUUAGCUUGUUAUUCUCAUAAUAUUUCAAAUCUCACUAACAUGUUCAUAUUCAUAUACUAAUCCCUUCUUCUGUUAAUUUACAGCUGCCAGCUUAAAACAGCAUAGAAUACAACAAAAUAAAAUCCCAGAACCAGAUCAUCAAGUUAAUAAGGUCGUCAACCGUGCAUUACAAAGCUUUAACCUUUUUGACACGGACCAAUUUGCAUUUACAUCAUUAGUGACACUCUUACAUUUGGGAGUUGUUUCAACUACAAAGGGUAUUUUCUAUAGAGGUUUUCCUUAUCUGGUUAAGUGAAAUUAGUAAGUGAGAUGCCUGGCAGAAGUUUGUAUGGUGUGGAACAAGGCUUUCCUGUGUAUUCUUUGUUCAUUUCAAGAGUGUUUAUUUCAUGUAAUUUAUCUGUAACAAUAUUAAUCUUUCAUUUACUUCAAAUUUAGUAAUUGCUGUGCUUUCUUUAUUGGGUUAAUUAUCUAGUUGGUCACUGAAAUGGGUUUAAUGUAUCAAGUUGGUCA
rnacentral:lncRNA from 1 species